CAGUCGAGCGGACAGAUGGGAGCUUGCUCCCUGAUGUUAGCGGCGGACGGGUGAGUAACACGUGGGUAACCUGCCUGUAAGACUGGGAUAACUCCGGGAAACCGGGGCUAAUACCGGAUGGUUGUUUGAACCGCAUGGUUCAGACAUAAAAGGUGGCUUCGGCUACCACUUACAGAUGGACCCGCGGCGCAUUAGCUAGUUGGUGAGGUAACGGCUCACCAAGGCAACGAUGCGUAGCCGACCUGAGAGGGUGAUCGGCCACACUGGGACUGAGACACGGCCCAGACUCCUACGGGAGGCAGCAGUAGGGAAUCUUCCGCAAUGGACGAAAGUCUGACGGAGCAACGCCGCGUGAGUGAUGAAGGUUUUCGGAUCGUAAAGCUCUGUUGUUAGGGAAGAACAAGUGCCGUUCAAAUAGGGCGGCACCUUGACGGUACCUAACCAGAAAGCCACGGCUAACUACGUGCCAGCAGCCGCGGUAAUACGUAGGUGGCAAGCGUUGUCCGGAAUUAUUGGGCGUAAAGGGCUCGCAGGCGGUUUCUUAAGUCUGAUGUGAAAGCCCCCGGCUCAACCGGGGAGGGUCAUUG
rnacentral:rRNA from 1 species